UACAAAUAGAGACCUAUUGAGUAGAAAUAAAUCUCUGAUUAAUUUUUAUUUAGAAAAUACUAUUAUUUUUUCCAACCUAGAUUCAUUUUUUUCUAUGUUAUAGGCAUGAAAGUUACAAAUAACCACCUAGUAUAAUUUUUUUCUCUUCACUUCGGAUGCCCAGAUGCCCAUUUGAGUGAAAAUCAGUGCGUCUCAAUGACAAUUUCUUUUCUUUUCUUUCUUUCUCUCUCUCUCUCUUUCUUUCUUUCUUUUUUUUUUUUGUUUUUGGUUUUUUGAGACAGGAUUUCUCAGUGUCAAUUUCUAAUCACAGUUCUUGCAUAAACAUAUACAUAUUGCAUAUACAUAUAAAGUUGUUUGACCUUUUAAAAUCCUUAUACCCUCUUGAAUCUGCUACCUAGAAUGUGAGAGCAAAGUCUCCUCUGAGAAAGUGACCUGGAGGCCCUCACAUGCUCUAGCAUUGUUUUCUUGGAAAGUUAAACUGAAAAGACAGGAGUUCCAAAAUAAAAGAAGAAACAUGGGAAGAUAGAGAAGGAAUAUUUACACAAAGGCAUUCACCAGAUGUGACCUUUAAUCUUGAAUAUUAACUUGAUAAGAUUGGAAGAAGAUGUCAGAGAGGUUAGUGCAUACACCUCUCGGUAUUUUCAGGACAUUCUCAGAGAGAAUUAAGGAGGAAAGAUCUGCCCUUAAUGCUGGUCACCCUGUCCCACAGACUAGGGCCUUCUUAAGAUAAACAGAGAAAAGAGAAAGCUAGAUAGUACUUCCUAGGCAUGUCUUUCUCCUGUUUCCUGGUUACCCUGAGGAAGCUACUUUGAUCCAGCAUAGCCUCCUUACUGUGAUAACCCAAACACUCUGAACCUGUGAGCCAAAGAAAUCCUUCCCUAUGCUUUGGUUUGAGAGGUUGAUCAUCUUAGAAACAUUGUCAGUGGUCAACACAGAGAACAAGCUGGUUAAUCUGUGCAGGGAUAGGAACCACCUGUUAGGCACAUGUCCUUUCUCCAGUGAGAGUAAAAGUGAAUGUGUAACUGAAGAAGACUCAAUCAUUGCAUCAUUACAACCAUCAGGAAACAUAUUAACAGUCACUGCUGGGCUGUACUACUAGAAUUUCUGUUUCAGUAUGCUAGAGUUGGCUUAGAAAUUCUAUUUCUUAAAAGAUCUUUGGUGAACUAAAAGCUGCUGAACCAAUACACAUUUUGAGAACCACCUAGCUACAUUAUAACCAAGAAUAAUGUUUUUCUCUAUUUCUGUUAAUGCCCCUUGGUCAUUAUUGUGGGCCCACUAUUCUGGAAACAUACAUUGUAUCCACAGGGUCAGAAUGUAUUAAAUAAUAAUAUAUUCACCAAGUUUGAUGUUUUCAACAGCAGCAAUUUGUAAGAUAAUACCACCUACUACAGUUAUCUGCCCAAGGUAAAUCUUUUAUUCCAAUCUUAAUUAUUUAAUAUUAACUUUCACACUGCAUAGCACACAGUAAAUACAUCUGUAUAUCUAUAUGCACAUAUGUGAUUUAUAGAAUGAAUACAAAUAAAAGAGGUUGCAGCAGUGUUGAAAAGGUUUCAGAAGUUGGCUGAGAGUCUGUAGUGAUGAGCUAAUGAACCAGAGCAUUGCUAGGAGCUGCUGCUGUAGCUUCUUGAGUCAGAGUUUAAGAGCAAAGCUAUAGACUCCAAGUUAAAAGACCAAACAGGAAUACCUGAGCAAAAAAAGCAGAUUUGGUCCAAGUCCAGCUGUGUAAACAGGUAGACAGGCAAGCUGUUGUAUGACUAUCACAAGCUGAAGAAUGAGUUGAACUGAAGCUCUGUGGACAGUCUGUAUCUCCUGCUUAUCAGUUCUUGUCACAAAGACACACAUACAUAUACACACACACACACACACACACACACACACACUCACACUCACACAUGCAUGCACACAUGUAUGCCAGGUAUCCGAUGAUAGAUUUGGACCAGUCCGUGCAGUAUACGGUGUCCAUCACUUUAUAGAAUCCAGGUGAGGGAGUUACAGCAUGUUCUUGGUCUGGCAUAUCUGGUAAAUUCUUGGCCCUGGUUUCCCUGGUAGAACUGUAAUACCCUCUGUGAUCGUUUGGUUACAAUUAACCCUAGUAAAAUUAUAGGACAGCUCACUUUCUUUUCCCAGGACUAAACCACUUAUCUAUCUGUGCUAGAUAGUGGUGCCUGACAUAUUGUGGUUUGUGGGUUCAUUCAGGGGCUACAGAAAUCAUUCUCCCCACAAUGAAGUCAAGACAUGUAGAAGAAUGUUCUAGUGUAAAGUUCAGCCCGAAGGAAAAAAAAGGAUGUAUACAAUAUAGACUGUAUUAAAGAAGGAAUUGGAUUGCUUGCACAUUACAUUUCUAGAAAAUUCUAAGAUGAACUUAGAGCUAUUUGCUGAGUCACCAUUAUGAGAAUGAUCUAUGUUAUAAACGAGAAUUUUUUAGGACUAUGUGUGCAUUUAGUAAAAGUGGCUGACAUUAGCUGAAAGGAGACUUUAUUUUAGGCAGAUACAAGAUGGUGAUUACUGGUUGGAUCAUUAAGAUAGAAAAGUCACCAUGUAAUUUAGCAUUAGAAACACAUAAUUAAGAGUUUGAAGGGAAUUUAGUGUUAAUCUUCAUCAUUUUCCAAAUGAGAAAGUG
rnacentral:lncRNA from 1 species